UGUUCUGCUCUCUCUUUAGCAAAUCUUCCUCUCCUGGGCGCUGCUAAAUCCUAGGGCCAAAGGGGUCUGAGCCGAAGCGCUCCCGGUGCCGCUCCGGGUGUUUCAGGCAGCUGGGAUUUGGGGUUGGUGCUGGUGAGACCUCGCAGCGAUGCCCUGGAGGUGCCAGACAGCAGAAAUCCCCCCGGUGCUCCCAGAGUGCGGAAAGGCCGGAAUUCCCGGAAAGGCCAGAAUUCCCGCGGCGGCCUGUUCCCGUGCCCGGCGCUGCGGCUGCGCUGCAGGCAUCCCGCCGAGCCCAGCGGGGACCUCUGCAUUUUGCACCGCUCUGCUCGGGGCCAAAAGCCCGGGGGGGUCGGCCGCCGGCGGGAUCACGGCCGCUGGUGGGAUCACGGCCCGCGGCGGAGGGGCGUCACGGCGGGCGGCGGAGGCGGUUACCGGCCGCCUCUCGCGGUGCGAGACCGGCAGCGCCGGGGAGCCGUGGGGCUGUGCUUCCGCACGGGAGACCAGCCGGAGCACGGCCCUCGCUGCGCGAGACGGGGCGAGACCUGAGCACAAGCAGGUCAGGCCUGCGGCCGAGAAAAUAAUCCCUUUUAAUUGCUUCUGAGUUUCUCGCACGCUCUUGCUGUCAGCUGCAGCAGAGACGGGACGCUGGGCCACAGCCGCCUUGGAUCCGCUUUAAGUGCAGCGAGGAUGCACGUGCCGGGUCAGAACAGCGGGUUUCACUUUCCAGCACCAGGCUUUAGUUUGCAGAGCAGGUAACCGUCAGUUUGCAGAGCAGAUAACGAGUGUGGCGUUUUUCCCCCCUGCAUCUCCGGCCGGUGUGUCCUGCUCUUGGUGGCCGUGGCUUGCCGUGCCGCCCCUCCGGCAUGGCUCUGCCCCGGGGGCUGGGGCUGGUGCCCCGGUGCCUUCGCCGGCCGGGGAGCCUGGGCUGGGCCCCCCCGAGCAGCCCGUUGCGUCGGGACCGUGGCACGCUCACGUCAGAGAGCCACACGAUGAAGAUGAAGGAGGCGAGGAAGGCCCGGGAGGGCUGCGGUCUGGCAGGCUGCUCCUGGGAGGAGAGGUUAGCGGAUGCGGCCACCCCGCUGUGGAGACUUCCCUACGAGGAGCAGCUGCAGGUGAAGUACGACAGCCAGAGGAAGACGCUGCGGACGCUGGCAUCUCGUCUCGAGGAAGCGGGCGUAGAUGUGCGGAAACCUGGGGGACUCUGCUGUCCUCUCCGCCCCAUCGUCCCCUCGCCCGUCAUUAAUGGCUACCGAAACAAGUCCUCCUUCUCGGUGAACCGAGGACCCGAUGGGAACCCCAAAACCGUGGGGCUGUACGUGGGAACCGGCAGAGCAAGAAACAUUGUCUGCGUGAGAGCCGACCGCAUGGAGAACAUCCCCGCAAAGCACAAACAAGUCGCCCAGCGCUACGAGCAGUUCCUCCGGCGCUCGCCCCUGCGGCCCUGCCUCCUCUUCCACCGCGGCGGACACUGGCGGGAGCUCGUCGUCCGCACCAACAGCCGCGGCCACGCCAUGGCUAUCGUCACCUUCCACCCCCAGCGGCUGGGCCAGGAGGCACUGGCUGCUCAGAAAGCAUCGCUGAAGGAGUUCUUCACUUGUGGACCGGGAGCAGCUUGCACCUUGACUUCACUUUAUUUCCAAGAGAGCACCAUGACCCGCUGUCCCCACGAGCAGUCGCCCUACCAGCUCCUUUACGGAGAACCACACAUCUUUGAGGAGCUGCUUGGCCUGAAGUUCCGCAUCUCUCCGGACGCGUUUUUCCAAGUAAACACGCGUGGAGCAGAAGUGCUGUACCAGGAGGUUGGGAAGCUGAGCCGGGCUGCUGGAGACACCGUCCUCCUCGACGUCUGCUGCGGCACGGGCACAAUCGGUCUCUCUCUGGCUCGCCAAGUGUCCAAGGUUAUUGGUAUUGAGAUAGUGGAGAAGGCAGUGGAGGAUGCCAGGUGGAACGCGGCGUUCAACGGAAUUUCAAACUGUGAGUUUCACGGCGGGAAGGCAGAGACCGUGUUACCGCGGCUGCUGUCGUCGUGGAAGGACGACCGGCCCCUCGUUGCUGUGGUGAACCCGUCCCGCGCUGGGCUCCGUAAGAACGUGCUGUUUAUUCUCAAUCUUAAAAAGAGAAUUUGGGAUGCGAAUGUCAAGCCCUUUGCUCGCUUGGUGUCUAGUUCUUCACCUGGUUGCCGACAGCAGCCGAAAGCGGCUGUUCCAGAAGGGGUAAGAAAUCCCGCGGUGGGCAAGCCUGGCCGAGGAGCUGUUGCCCGCCGAGCUCAGGAGGCUCGUGGCGCGCUCCGAGAGAGCCGGUCCUCUCAUGCGGCUGAAACGAGGCGUUUGGGCUGCUUUCGGUCCUCGCUUUGUGAGGAGGUGGAAAGCGGGCCAUGCCCGUCCGUCCUUUCUGCGGAGUCUGCUUUCUCCUCAAAGCAGACAGCUCUAAUCUUUUUCCAUCUUUCACAGACUCGGAGAGUAUUUGAGGAGUGAAAGCCUCUGGAGGUCUCUGGUGCAAUCCCCCAGCCAAACCGAGCUGACUUCAGAGUUAUUUUAGGUUGUGCAGGGCUUCCUAUCGCUGAGGCUUGGAUGUCUCCAAGGAUGGAAAUCCCCGAGCCUCUCCUGGCCCCGUCCCAAUGCUGGAAUACAUCUCCUUUCUGAAAACGCUUUCCCUAAUGCAUCUAAUUAGAAUUUCCCCUUGCUGCAACGUGUCCGUUGCUGCUCAUCAUGUCACCGUGCACCUCUGAGAAGAGUCUGGCUCCAUCUUCUCUACGACCCUUCGAUUAGGCCACCGAAGACAGUAGAUGGAUCCUCUCUCUCCUCCUCCUCUUCAGGCUGAGCAGCCCCAGCUCUCCGACUCUCCUCACACGUGCUGUGCUCCAGCCCUCGGAGCAGCUUGGUGGCCUCCCUGCACUCGCUCCAGUGUGUCCUGGGAAGCCCUAAAUGGGACACAGCGUGCAGAUGCGGUCCCAUAAGUGUAUAGGGAAGGGUUUACGUGCCUCCGUUUCACUUAAAUUUUCUCUAAUCCUUCAUCCCCCUGGAAGCAGAGGAAGUUCUCCCCCGGCUCUACCCUGCCAGAACUGGCUGGGGUGCUGGCAGCCUGAGCCACGUCCUUGGCUUUCUGAGACGCUGCAUCUGAGACAGGACAUGGCAAAAUACGCAGUAUUCUCUUUCCCGUUAUUUCUGUCCGUGCAGCGAAGGUCUGCGGUGCUGGAUCUGUAGUUGUUCUGGAGAACGUGCUGUCAUGGUAUCUCUCGAGCCAAGCUUUGUGUCUUUCUGUCUUUGCAGAUUACAGGGUCGUGCGAGCCAUCCGAAACUGCGAGGCCAUCCGAAGGCUGCUCUACGUCUCCUGCAAGCCGGAGGGCGAAGCCAUGAGGAACUUCCUUGAACUGUGCUGCCCACCCGACCCCAGGAAGAAGCUGGCAGGAGAGCCCUUU